rnacentral:tRNA from 1 species
CUUAGAUAGCUUAAAUAAAGCGUCGGUCUUGUAAACCGAAAAUGGGGAAUAACCCCCCCUCCAAGU